rnacentral:misc_RNA from 1 species
AAGGAGUCUAACAUGGAUGCGAGUCGUUGGGUGUCGAAACCCAAGGGCGUAAUGAAAGUAAUGGAUGGGAAUUUCGCAAGAGAUGCACCAUCAACCGGCCUGGAAGUUUUAAUGGAAAGGUCUGAGUCAGAGCAUGCCUGUUGGGACCCGAAAGAUGGUGAACUAUGCCUGAGUAGGGUGAAGCCAGAGGAAACUCUGGUGGAGGCUCGUAGCGGUUCUGACGUGCAAAUCGAUCGUCAAACUUGGGUAUAGGGGCGAAAGACUAAUCGAACCAUCUAGUAGCUGGUUCCCUC